rnacentral:rRNA from 1 species
CCUACGUGUGGCUGCAGUGGGGAAUAUUGGACAAUGGGGGGAACCCUGAUCCAGCCAUGCCGCGUGUGUGAAGAAGGCCCUCGGGUGGUAAAGCACUUUUAGUGAGGAAGAACGCCUGGUGGUUAAUACCCAUCAGGUAAGACAUCACUCACAGAAGAAGCACCGGCUAACUCCGUGCCAGCAGCCGCGGUAAUACGGAGGGUGCGAGCGUUAAUCGGAAUUACUGGGCGUAAAGCGCGCGUAGGUGGCUUGAUAAGCCGGUUGUGAAAGCCCCGGGCUCAACCUGGGAACGGCAUCCGGAACUGUCAAGCUAGGGUGCAGCAGAGGAAGGUAGAAUUCCCGGUGUAGCGGUGAAAUGCGUAGAGAUCGGGAGGAACACCAGUGGCGAAGGCGGCCUUCUGGACUGACACUGACACUGAGGUGCGAAAGCGUGGGUAGCAAACAGGAUUAGAUACCCGUGUAGUC